rnacentral:rRNA from 1 species
UACAGAGGGGGCAAGCGGUGUUCGGAAUUACUGGGCGUAAAGGGCGCGUAGGUGGCCUUCCAAGUUGAAUGUGAAAUCCCUGGGCUCAACCCAGGAACUGCGUCCGAGACUGGGAGGCUUGAAUCCGGGAGAGGGAUGCGGAAUUCCAGGUGUAGCGGUGAAAUGCGUAGAUAUCUGGAGGAACACCGGUGGCGAAGGCGGCAUCCUGGACCGGUAUUGACACUGAGGCGCGAAAGCCAGGGGAGCAAACGGG